GAUAAGAACGUAGCGAAAUGCGAUAAGUAAUGUGAAUUGCAGAAUUCAGUGAAUCAUCGAAUCUUUGAACGCACAUUGCGCCCGCCAGCAUUCUGGCGGGCAUGCCUGUUCGAGCGUCAUUUCAACCCUCGAGCCCCCCCGGGGGCCUCGGUGUUGGGGGACGGCACACCAGCCGCCCCCGAAAUGCAGUGGCGACCCCGCCGCAGCCUCCCCUGCGUAGUAGCACACACCUCGCACCGGAGCGCGGAGGCGGUCACGCCGUAAAACGCCCAACUUUCUUAGAGUUGACCUCGGAUCAGGUAGGAAUACCCGCUGAACUUAAGCAUAUCAACGGAGGA
rnacentral:misc_RNA from 1 species